rnacentral:rRNA from 1 species
AUUGAACGCUGGCGGCAGGCCUAACACAUGCAAGUCGAGCGAGCGGCGGACGGGUGAGUAAUGUCUGGGAAACUGCCUGAUGGAGGGGGAUAACUAAUGGAAACGGUAGCUAAUACCGCAUACCAUCAGAUGUGCCCAGAUGGGCUUAGCUAGAAGGUGGGGGAACGGCGCACCUAGGCGACGAUCCCUAGCUGGUCUGAGAGGAUGAACAUCCACACUGGAACUGAGACACGGUCCAGACUCCUGUGGGAGGCAGCAGUGGGGAAUAUGGCACAAUGGGCGCAAGCCUGAUGCAGCCAUGACGCGUGUAUGAAGAAGGCCGUCGGGUUGUAAAGUACUUUCAGCGGGGAGGCGUUACCCGCAGAAGAAGCACCGGCUAACUCCGUGCCAGCAGCCGCGGUAAUAC